CUGUGCUCCAAAUGGCUUGCUGAAACAACUGCUAUCAGCACCUCACUCUUCAUGGCUCUCUACACAGAAAGGUCAGGCUUACAACUACUCCUUCCUGCACUGCUGAACAAUUGCUGGGAUCUCUCCCUCAUCUGCCAGCUACCCUUCCAGAAUAUGCCUCUCUUCAAGGCUUGUCAUGUCUCCUCCAAGCUCAUCAGUAAUGCCACACCAAGGAUCAGAUCAAACAGAGAUACCUGCCUGGAACUUAAUAGUGUGCAAACCACUAUAACAUCUACAGUUUAUAUGAAUAACACACACCUGAAUUUGGGCACAGAAUUUUUGGUCAAAGAGAAUGGAACAAACCUCUAGAAGAGAUCAGGCAGCAAGCCUCAAAUCAACAAUUACAAAGAGAAGACUGAUAACAUGUAAAGAGACAAAAACAGAAACCCCAUUCAGGUAGAUAUUUUGUUCCAAAAAAAACAAAAAAAAUACCAAAUACUCUGUAAAGUCCUCUAGAGAUAUCAGUACUGCAGUCAAUUUUACAUGAAGUGUUGCAUCGGAGAUGGCCUUAAGUAUAAACCUUGCAGCAGAGGAAGAUAUUAAACAAGACACAGGAAACCCAGUUUGACAGAAGAGAACAGAUUACAUUCACAAGGCACUGAAGGAAACUCUCUGGUAUGACGAUAAGCAUUCCCAUGGGCAGCUCUCUCAGAAAACAGUAUCUUUACAUAUUGCCCUACAAAAACUUCCCAAUAUGAAAUACUGUUCUUUUUAUUGCAUAUUCUACUAACACUAUUUGAUCAUUGUCAGGGGUGUUCCUUCCCUAUUUACAGUUAUGUUAGCCAGCUUGAGACCUCAUGGUGGCCAAGAAGUGGGCUUUGCAGGUGAGCAAUAGUGAAAGGUCUUGGUCCACACAGAGCCGGUUCAGCUGAAUCUGUUCAGUGAAUGAAGCCAAGUGAAUGUUAAAAAAGAGAUUCCCCUGUCACUGUAAUUUCUCUGAGUUGGAUCGUAGUGGGAUCAUAGUUUCUCUAUAGCAAAUAAAAUGGCCAACAGUUGUUCAUAGCAACAACUAAGUCAUUCAUUGUGCCUUUUAGAAAAUGAUGGAGUUUUUUGUUCUAUCGACACCCCAGCUGCACUCUUUUUCAAUUCCUCCUUCAUGAAAGUUGUGCUAUUUGAGAAUCAGUAGAUAAAGACACCACUAUGGACUUCUUUGUACACAUAUCCAUUGACAGACAGUCCUAUAAAGAAAGAGCAAUCCAUUGACCUAGAGAAUUGCACUGUCAGUGUGAUAGGCAGCCCUACACCUACUUUUAAUGUCCAUACCUGAUUAAACCAAUCAGUUGAAGGGCUCUCUUUAUAAACACCUUUAUUUAGCUAGUUCACCAGAAGCACAGAAGAUGACACAGUGAUAUAGUGCCACUUGUUGCUCUGGCAACAAUGAAACUCCUCAGUGACAAAUAGAGGGGAAGUAUAUUAACAGGGAAUGGCUUUCCAGAUGAUAGGGUCAGAGGAGUGUGGGGUCUCUGCUGCUGAAGGAGCUAAGCAAUCUUUUCCCAGUUCCAUAAACCAGGACUGCAUAACAUCAGCUCUGAUUUCUCCUAGGGCUAGCUGGCUGAGGGUCAAGGAGCAUCAAAGAGCUUUCUUCUUACUGCCCUCCACAACACUUGCAAUCAGGUGAGGUCCGCUCUGUGUCUAACUGCCCUCACAUCUUCAAGAAUAAAGCAAAGCAAAACCUUUCAGAAGACAUUUUAAGGACAGAACCAUUUUAAAAAAAGCAUUACCCUAAGCCAACGAUGUGGCCUUUUGUUGCCCCAAGAGGAUAAACUCAUACUUCCUGAGAAAUAAAAAUAACAGUGUUUUGCACAGUGGUCCUCCCUUACCUACACUCUCUGACACUGACCAAGAAAUUAACAUUUCUGGAAAAAGGAAUUAGCUGCAAUUAUUAUUUCAGUGCAUGAGCAAUCAAGGUCAGAACCAAAGCAAACCAUCAUGAGUCUCCUAAUAAUUACCAUCAAAAUAGUUACUUCUUUCCUCAUCGAGAAUUAUUGAUUUCUAGAAGACCUCUGGUGUCCAUACCAUGGUAUUCUUAUAAGCACUGUACAAAGCUAUCCAUGUUACAAGUUUUACUCAGUUAACUCUCAACAUGCUCUUAAAAAAGAAAACCCAAAACUGAACAAAUUCUCUGUUUCUCAUUUUAAAUUGCACAAUCUUAAUUUUAUAAAGAAAAAGAGUACUUUGGCUAUCCCACCUGGUAGGAACACUAUGGUUGGAAACCUUUGGGGUAAAAUUUUGCCAUGAGAAUAUGCAGUAUAAGUUACAUUCACUUGUAGGAUGGCUAUGUCUUAGCCCAAGGUUAAUAUGUAUAUUGCCCUGGGAACUCCAAACAUGCUAAAAUAAUUUGGAUGUUAGUUGACCUAAUUCUUCAAUCAAUUUUUGGCCUCAUUGCUUCACUUUUACAUAGAAAUUACCUAAUGCCUCAGCAUUAACAAAUGACUAAUUAAAAACCUGUCUGAGGGUUCCACAUACGUAGCUAUAACAACCUGUGGAUUCAGAUAUGUCAGUAGGGCAACACUCAGAAUGUCAAGGGAGUCAAUCUCAACCUCUUUCAAAAAACUAGCCCUGCCAACUAGGAGGAACUACUUCUCUGCAUUCUGCCAAGACAGAGCCAAAGGCACAUACUUCAGUGAACCUAUUUCCAUCCAAAGAAGAACGGAAGCUUGUUCAUUACAAUGCAUUCAACAGAGGUAGCUCACUUCCAGUCUGUAGACUCUCUCGGUUCUUAAAAAGGACCCCUGUGUGAGUGAAUUCCCCCUGAAUUGAAGGGGAGGGGGAAAGAGAAAAGAAAAUGUAUUUAACUUUUUUUAAUGACUCCCCUAGAUAUGAAAAGGAGACUCAGAAAUACUGAAGCAUUUAAAUCAAGACUACCCAUCUUUUAGAAAGCCAAACAAGCUGCAGUGAUUUGGUUAUUUCUGAUUUACUGUCUUUAAAAUUAGGUCAUUACUUUUAGGAAUGCCUUGAAAUACAGUAAUAAUAGGACAGGAUUUCAGAAUAUUCUUAAUAGUAAUCCAUCCCACUCCUGGGGAUAAAUUAUUUUGCUUUUGACCUUCUAGCUUAUCCAUUUGGGAAUCAUAUUAUUGUCUCAUAAAAAAAAGAGGCACCUGUCUUAAUAUUCCUGAACUAAUGAGUUCUGCAAAAUCCUUUCAAAGUACUAGCUAACCAGAUUGAUGAAUUACUGCUUCAUCCAUCCAGAUCAAGCUGGAUUUACGAUUAAUUGCAUGCUUGCAAAUAAUCUUUCAGACUUUUAUUCAUUGUUCCCUGUAUUUAAAAAAAAAAAAAGACGACAUUUGAUCAGUACAAUAGCCCUUCAUGUUUGUCAGCUUGCAUUUGUUUAGAUUCCUUCAACUGCUUUAUGGAAGGGACAACAGUGCCACCGACAGAAUAUAUUUAAAUUUUGGCUGACACCAAUGCCCACUGUUACUUUUUAAUAUGUCACCACGGUUAUAUAAGUUGCAGUGUCAGUGGAAAAAAGAGAUGUUAUUGCAAAGUGUAGAUUCAAACUGAAAUUACAAAAAUUCUGGGAAAUUCAGGAUAUUGUAUCUUUCCAACUGCCACUUGACCCUCUGGGAUCCUUUGGAUUUUUUAUUCCUGCAUAUACAACUAAGUUUAUGACCUCAUAAUAAAAACAGCAUUUAGAAAUUAGUGGUUGGCACAAUAUAAAUUUCCAGAAAGAAUAAUUACGCAAUUUUGCUCAGUUAUGUCGGUUAAAUUGUUCAAUGAAGUUAUAGCCUGUAUUCACAUGCUAUAGCCUUGCCUCAUGAAGGAUGAUCUGAAGAUUGUAGAAA